rnacentral:rRNA from 1 species
CGGUGAAAGCGGAGCUUGCUCCGCCGGAUCAGUGGCGAACGGGUGAGUAACACGUGAGCAAUCUGCCCCUGACUCUGGGAUAAGCGCUGGAAACGGCGUCUAAUACCGGAUACGAACUGCGAAGGCAUCUUCAGCAGUUGGAAAGAAUUUCGGUCUGGGAUGAGCUCGCGGCCUAUCAGCUUGUUGGUGAGGUAACGGCUCACCAAGGCGUCGACGGGUAGCCGGCCUGAGAGGGUGACCGGCCACACUGGGACUGAGACACGGCCCAGACUCCUACGGGAGGCAGCAGUGGGGAAUAUUGCACAAUGGGCGCAAGCCUGAUGCAGCAACGCCGCGUGAGGGACGACGGCCUUCGGGUUGUAAACCUCUUUUAGCAGGGAAGAAGCCUUCGGGUGACGGUACCUGCAGAAAAAGCACCGGCUAACUACGUGCCAGCAGCCGCGGUAAUACGUAGGGUGCAAGCGUUAUCCGGAAUUAUUGGGCGUAAAGAGCUCGUAGGCGGUCUGUCGCGUCUGCUGUGAAAACCCGAGGCUCAACCUCGGGCCUGCAGUGGGUACGGGCAGACUAGAGUGCGGUAGGGGAGAUUGGAAUUCCUGGUGUAGCGGUGGAAUGCGCAGAUAUCAGGAGGAACACCGAUGGCGAAGGCAGAUCUCUGGGCCGUAACUGACGCUGAGGAGCGAAAGGGUGGGGAGCAAACAGGCUUAGAUACCCUGGUAGUCCACCCCGUAAACGUUGGGAACUAGUUGUGGGGUCCAUUCCACGGAUUCCGU